AACAGGCAGCGGUACUUGGUCUUUAAGUGUCUGGAACUCCAAGUCGACACUCCAACCUGCGAAAACCGGUAACUUUGUACCAACGCCUGCUUCUAUUCCCAGCAAGCCAGGAAAGCGCUAUUCUGUGAAAAGGUACGUACAAACUAGAUGAACAGUGGCUACCUAUGAUUCAGGGGAACCAUUUGAUAUUUUGUUCGUUUUGGGAUAGACUCAGAUCCAGACUAUCCAGGGAUAUAGAACUUGUGGGGGUCCCUGUUAAUAUUAUGUAUGUUUUGGGGUGUUUUAUGUUUUAUUUUCUGUACCAGUUAGACAUUUCUUAACACAGAACUUUUCACAGCAGCUCAGCUUUCAGUCAUAGCAUUGCUGUCAGUUUGAAUCACACAGAGUUAACUCACUGCUGGCUACAAUACUCACAGGAAAAACACGUUUUAUAUUUCAAUUAACAAAUACAAUAUUUCUCUCACCAGGAUUAACUAUUUUCUUUCCAUCCAGUGAGUCGAAAGAAUAAUUAUAAUCAAAAUUUUACAUUGCAGAUGAUUAACUUUCCUUAUUAAAGAUUAACUAUCCUUAAAUUCAGAUAGGACAAUAUUUCUGGAUAAUAGCUUGAAAUGCUAUACUUGGCAAAUUACCAGUAAAUAUAUUGUUCAUUUAUUCCACCUGCAGGAAUGGAAUGUGGAACCAUAUAUUUCCUCAGCUAAUUAUGAUUUCAAAGAUUUUAAAUAUGACCAGCCUUAUCCAUGUACGUUUCGCUUUUAGUAAAAAUGUAUUCAAUUAAAUGAAAUGAAACCAGCAUGUUUUCCAUCUUUCUGGUAGAAAAUCUUUAGGCUUGGAGAUAUAUUCAAGGAAUGGUGGGUGCAGGUAUGAGUAUGUUUAUAAAUGGAGAUUGUGAAUAAGAGAAGUUAUCAAGAGUUCUUUGGAAAAGACAAAGUGUUAUUUUCAAAGUUUCAUAAUUUUAGGUAUAAAAGAUACAGAGAGUUAGAGGUGUCCAUCUUUUGGGUAAUGAUCUGGUCCUGCUCAAUUUUUAAGAAAGAGCUUCCCUUAACUUUCUUUACGUCACUAAUUUAAAGUGACCAAUGGAGCCAUGUGGGUGUCUCUUCUUCUAUUGAUUGCCUUAUAGAAUUUGGUCAAUAGAUGGCAUUGUAACACCACAAGAAAUUAUCAUCAAGAAUUCCAACUACCACUUUGUUAAUUGAAUUUCGUGAUGCGUUUGAUGUCAUAGUUAUUUUAUCUUUAUGGUCCAUUUGUCACAUAAUCUGUCAAUCUUCAAAGAGAUCUUCUUAGACUGACAGCCUGAUUUUUGGGCCAUAAAGUAUGAUUUUGAUGCAUUUGGUCUCGGUUUCACCUUCUCUUACAAUGGACCCUUGCAGCAAUCCAUUAAAUUUAAAAAGUAAAAUGAAUUACUUUAGUAUUAUCUCUUUCUGGUAAUCCUGUGCCUGUUUCUUUAGUUACACUGUCUCAUUGUAUGAAACUAUGUGUAUUACUUAGAAAUGUGACAGCAUUGUGUGAUAAAUAUAAGUCUUUUACACACAUUCAGCUAAUAUUAGUUUAAAAAUAAACAGGUUUUCUUCAUGAAUCCACGAAUAGUCAAGAUUAUUAACAUUGUUUUGUGUUUGUCUUGGUAUAUGUGCCUGUCUGUGUAUGUGUGUCUAUCUGGGUAUUUGUGUCUGUCAGUGUGUGCGUCUGUCUCAGUGUAUGUGUGUGUUUAGGUGACCAGGCCACCCUUACGAUCACGAGGAAAUGGUGUCUAUACUUACCUUUUUUCCACGUCAUAUCAAUCUCCCCAUGGCUGAAUCAUGCUUGUUGAUCUCUGCCAACCCAAUGCUUUCCCAUAGAAAAGCAUUGAGAGGCUAUUGCCUAUAGCGCAUGCACUGCAAAAUGCUGCACCAAUCAGCAUCUCUAUGGGGAACGUUCAGCGCCUCUGUGAUGGAGCUCCCGUACUCCGACCGAGUACCAAUCCACUUCCCAGCUGUUGGGGAGGGGGCCUUGACUGCUUCAGCCCCAGUAUCCAAGGCUUAUCUGGGGUCUCUUCAUAACUGUAAUGUUCACUAGGGAACCCUAACAUGCAGCCUGGACAAAGUAGAGAGAAUUGCAAUACCGAUCCUUAGAAUGGUCGGGUUUUGCAAAAAAAGGAUAGUCAAAACACGAGUAGAGAUCAAGGGAAACAGAGAGACGAAAUAACCAGAGAGACAGAAUAACCAGAGACAAAGCCAAAUAUCACUAACCAGGAAAUCCAAAUAACAAGUGCAACGCUCGAUGGUAAACCAAAGACCACAACAGGGCACUAAGGCAAGGGAGAGGUUAGCUUAUAUACACACAGGGUGUGUCUGAUUGGCUAACCUCCAAUUGUUGUUAACCACAACACAUGGGAGAAGUUUUUUUGCUCCUUUGUGGUCUCUAAGGUUAUCACUGUGUGCCGUGUCACAGGACCGGGUUCAGCACACAUAUAAGGAAGCUGCUCUGGAGUAUGCAGGGACCAGAUGACGCCACUCGCUGUGAUGAGGUAAGCAAGGUUGCCUGAUAACUCUCUUACCUGACCAGAUUCUUCUUCCAGGAAGGUAUUUUCCCUUCUGCCUAUUUCUCUGCAGCUCUGCUUACAUUUCUUAAUUUUUGUGGGGGGGACUAGCCCAUUUUCCAAUAACCUUUAGAUGGCUGUGACACUUACAAAAUACCAAUAGAAAGAACAUUAGUAAACAAUUAAUACAUGCACUAUAUAAUACCAAUAAAAAGUGUGACAGAUCCAUCUGUAUAGGCUGGGAUUGCUGGUUCGUCUGUUUUGCCUCUUUUCGUGGAAUUACCGGUCCGUAUGCCCCUGUUCGUUUAUUUGACUUUUCUACCGAAUGAACUUACUGAACGGAUGGCCACCCAGAAGAGAAGUGUGCUGCUGGUUAACCUCUUGAUCCCAAUUAGAACGUUGUGGUUAACCACAGACACCUCUCAAUUAUAACCGAAUACAGGGUGGUCGACGUUCGUUAGUCGACCACGAGGCGGCGGCCAUUUUAAAACAUGCGAAAGACCAGCGGUGUUCAGCACAGAUUGUAUGGAACUGAAAACAGACACUUCUUCUGCCGAACACCGCUAAAACUACCGACCCCCCUUCUCAAUCGACAAAGGCAUCAACACCGGACGUUCGGGAGUUUGAACCGCACGAAUGGACUUAACCCAGAUAGCCUUCCCAUGGAGUCAAUCGCAUACCGAAAGACUGUAAUAGACUUUGACUUCAUGGCGAUUGAACUGUGCGUAUGGGAUCUGAGCGCUAUUCGCCAAUAAUAUGCACUCAGAUCCAGGCUAUCUGGGGAUACGUUACACGAAUGGGAAAUGUUCGUUAGUUGUAAAAUUAUAUAUUUUUAUGUGUUUUUUGGGUCGCAUCUAAAAUGGCGAUUUGCCUCUGUCCUGGGAGAUAAUUGAAUUACUUCUCAAUUAUUUCCAGGGCAGAGGGGAGGAAACCAUGAUGCAUGCUGGGAAUAUUAUGUGCCUGUGUAUCCUGAAAUGCUGUAUGUCCAUCUGCCGUUACAGUCUCCCAUUUGGUCCGCUAGGGGAGUGUCCACCAAGUGGGAGACCUGCAUAAAAACGGGCGGGUAGCCCACAGUAAACCCAGUUCAUGGUUUACCCUCAAUGCGGAGCUUGGUCUCGUUAUUGGAGGGGAAUUUACUACACGAAUAGCGACUGCCGGGUGGGGAGAUAUAUGGUUUCGGCUGUUAGCGGCGAUUCGUGAGCUUACUGAUCAGAAAGUGAAGUACCCGUACGGGUCCCGUUCGGGAGAUUGGAGCGUUCCCCUGCUUGCAAUUCGUAUAGUUGGAGUUGAUACGAAUGAAGCUUGCGUUAUGGUGAGAGGGGAGGAUUAACUAAACGGCGUUUUUUACUAUUUGAUGCUGAGGGUGCCGUUACAAAAAGCAAUUAUAUAUACAUUUUACUACUCAUUUGAUUGCCCACAUUUGCAUACAUUUCUUAUGCAAAUGAACACAAUUCUAGACAGUUAGGACAGUUAUCCAAUAACAAUGAAUAGUUUGUAAAUUGAUUGCUGCUGUCACACACCUCUUUCAGGGAUUCCUGGGACUAGAUCCAUAGUCUGUUGGUAAGAGGCUGGCUUUCUUCUUUAGUAGUUUAGGACAGAGGUUAGCAGCACUCUGUCCUGAUGCCAGCACUUCAGCUGGGGGUGUGGUGAGCUCCACUUGACUCAUCCAGCAAUGUAGAGCUCUCCUCUACUCUCACACCUGCAGAAGCAACAGCAAGUUGGGGGUAGAUGCCAGUGCUUCAGCCAGAAUUGUGGUGAACUCCUAGUUCUCAUGUUGGUAAAAAAGCCAUACUCAGCAGCUGGAGAAUGAGGAUGUUAACCUCCAAUUCCUGGAACUCCAACUGCCGCUUUGGAGGGAGGCUCAUACUCUCCUCUCCCUGCAUAACGAACUGCUGCUGAUGAGGUGAAGCGACCUUCUCCACUUCCAGUAGUUGCAACUACUGCUAGGGAGGGAGGCCGAUACUCUUCUAUCCCUGCAUAACAAACUGCCGCUGGGGAGGAGGACCGAUCGUCUCCGCUACUGGUAACUCCAACUGCUGCUAGGAAGGAAGGCCGAUGCUCUCCUCUCCCUGCACAAUAACCUUCCGCUGGGAGGGGGACCAACUAUCUCUGCUCUUGGUAACUCACCCUGCUGCUGGGGAGGGUGAUCAGCUGUCUCUCCUUCCAGUAACCUCAACUGGCGCUGAAGAGGGGGUGUGGGGGUGAUACUCUCCCUGCAUAACACAUGGCCACUGGGGAGGACCUCUGCCUCGACUGCCUCUGCUCCUGGUUGCUCCGGCUGCUGCUGGAAAGGAAGGCCGUUACUCUCCUCUCCCUACUCAAAUCAUCCCUUUGGAACGCCUCCUGUUCUACCAAAUUGAGCAGGUGUUGGUACUUCUGUUCCAGUUCCCACUCCCAGAUGGCCAGACAGGUCAGGUCUGGUCCCAGCCCAAUAGCUCCACGGAGCCCCAGCAUUUCUCCUCUGUACUCACGGAUAUUCCAGAACUGAGGCUCCUCAAGACUGCCAACGUCAUCGUCCCUCUCCAAGGGCUUCGUCAACAGGUCAUGACCAUUGUCAUCCUCUGCUAACCACGAACCACCAAAUCGCCCUGUAUGCCUUGUCCAACCUUUGUUCUUUCCCAACCAGGUGCUUAAGUUCUAGCACCCACUCCUCCAGAGGCUGCACUCCCAGGAGUCGCAUCAACAGAGCCACUUGUUUUUGCCAGUAUUGCUCCUGACUUGGGAGACUUUCAUUCCACCGAGACUGGGCUUCCUCCAGGUCCUCGUACCAGAGAUAAUUUCAGAUUGCAUCCCUCCAGCUCAGCUCCCUCUACUCUGAAAUAGGGCCAUAAUUAUAGGACAGAGCUUCUUGCAGCCUCCGCUGGAACUUCUCGUAAGUGUAUGCUGCACGGGUGCUAGCUCGCUCUAUGUCUGUGAAUUCCAGGAGGCAUGCAGGGAUCCUAGAAAAUGCACCCGUGACAAGGGAUGUUUCCCCUGUUGCUAGAAAGCCAUUCCACUGCUGCCACCAAAUGUGACGGAGCUCCUGUACUCUGACCGAGUACCUCCGCCCAAUCCACUUCCUAGCCAUUGGGGAGGGAGCCUGGACCGCUCCAGCCCCAAAAGCCAAAACUUGAUUGGGGUCCCUCCAGAACUCUUUUUUCAGGCAGGAAUCGUCCCCUCUGCCUAUUCCUCUGCAGAUUUACUACCAGGCAGGUAUCGUACCUGUAGCGGAGUAGUAGGGGUUAAUCCAUGGUAUCUCCACUUGUAGUCAGGAUAAGCAGGUAAAUCACAGGUAGCGGAAUAACAAUCCUUUCCUCCCAAUAACUAGACGACACAUAGCUUGGAGGUCAACUGAACUUUUAUUCUACAGGGUCGGUAUUUAUGCAAUUCACCAUGAAUUUUUCCACAGAGACAACGCAGGGGUUUUACUGGAGGGGACUGUGUGGGGGACUUAGCAUGUGUAAGGAAACCAAGUGCAUUUAAACCUCAAACGGUAGUUUCCUCCCGAACCGCCAGAGCCUAGUGAAUAUAGCCCUCCGUUCGGUAGUUAUGGUAGACGAAUCCCAGUGUAAUUCCAAUAGUGUCCCUGGAUAAUUCCUGCAGUAAAACACACGCACUCCCAAACAGCUUACAUAGUCAGAAGAAGGGUACAAAGAUGAACUAAGGAUUUAUUGACAGGCAUGCUCUUUUUAUGGGAUUCUGCCCAUGCAAGGGAGCCUCCCAUAUAAUUAACAGUACAUCCAAUCCUAACAAUAUACAUACUGUACAUCUCCUCCCCUCAGAUAACCAUUAAACAUAAUUAAAACGUAACAGAAUUUCCCCAAAGUUUGGAUGUACCCCAAGGACUUUGGUAUCCCCAGAUAGCUGUUCUCUGGGGGACCAACAUAUAAAUAACUCAGUCCAUUCGGUUCAGCUGUUCGGGAGAUAUGGGACUUAGAAGUUUUGACCGACUGCACGGGCAAAGUAGCCGAAAACAGUUCCAUGAAUUCUGGCCCUGCAGUCGGUCUUGGGUCGCAUGAAAAACCUCCCGAACGGCCGGCCAUCCAGCUACCAUCCUUGGUUCGCUUGUUUCCCCAUCGGUUAGUAAGUCUUUCUACCGAACGCCCGGUAGUUUGGAAGGGAGUUUACCGAAGGUCUGGAGGAUUCAGCGGUGUUCGCCUAUUUGAGUGUCCGUUUUCAGUUCCAGACACUCGACGGCAAACACCGCUGUUCGGGAGCUAAAAUGGCCGCGAACACGUGGAAGUCCCGAAAUGGCGGCGAGACAUGCCGUUCGUGCAGAACUUCUGUCGAACGUAAUCCAGCCAGCAGGGAGGUAAAGUCAGUAUAAUGGGCAACAGGGUGGUCUUGAUUCGGUAGUUUUACCUACCGAAUGCCAUAGGGAACAUUAUUAUCAAACAAAAGAAUACAAAUUAAUUUACAGCAUAAGAGGGGCAUUUCUUCACAGCAUGUAAAGACAAUUCCCAUGAUGCAGUGCUGUACAGGAGAAAUUAUUGUUGUGACGAAGUGCCCUUCGCCACUUGGUCCUCGAGAGGCCUGCUUGCCAGCCUCCUCCCCUGUGACUAUGACUCUUUCAUGUAUUUGGCUUUAAAGCCCCUAGUCUACCUUCAGACAGACUAUUUAUGUAGGCUGCUUUAUUUAUCUUAUGUUUUAGUCACCCUGUACCCAUUAUAGGUGCAGGGUGUGUGUAAUGUAAUUGUUUAUAGUGUGUGUGUGUACUGUGAAAUGUAUUGCCUGCUCUCCUGUACUGCUGAGGUUUGCUACCAACUAGGUGGGUUUGGCUAUGGAGCUUGUCUAGUGCCCUCUGUUGGUAGCAACAGCAAUAUGCACUACCUGAAUUGCAAGACUGGUUCAUUUGCAUAUUCGGGUAGAUUUGCAUAUUGCUAAUUCUGCAGGCAGGUGAGAUAUUUACUGUAAAAUAUUGUCUCCCCCACCCCUUUAAAAAUGUGCCAUUGUGUUGUGAUAAGUCACUGUGUGUUGCCUGCUAUGGUUUGACUGUUUUUGAUUUUAUUGAGGUUUCACAACAAUGUUAUUGUGGUGACCCUAUGGGCUGGUCCCAAGGGAAAUAAAGGUUUAGACAGUUCUUCUUGAUCCCUCUAAACGUAGCCUUGUCUCGUUAUUGGAGGGUGCUGUUAUAAUCACACUGGGGUUUGCUAUGCUCUGCAUGCUCCCUUGAGCUUGAAUCACUUAGCUCUUUUAAGAGCUUGUUCCUGACACGCUCUCCUUGGAGGAGGGGUCUUCACCACACAGUCCUGGAUGCUGGAGGUUCAUACAGGGUGGAAAGAAGAGUUCUUUCCCACACAGUCUUGGAGGACAGAAGCUGAUCCAGGGUGGAAGGAAGACGGCGAGACUCCAGUCAAGAUACAGCGGUUGCGGAGUCUGCGGUGGUUGUGGUGUCUGCUGCACUGCUUUCAGUCUUCAGGAAGCGCUAGGAGCAUCCGUCAACGGAGGGUACUCAGUCAGAGUACAAGGAGCUCCGUUACAAUUGUGCAAGAGGAUACUUUUAAUUACAUUAUCUCUCUGUACAGCAGAAUCUGCCAAUUCGUAUAAAAAUACAUAACUGGGUCAAUAUUGCUGAGAAUAAACCGAAUGACCCAUCACUGAAUAGCUGGGAUUUGAGCGCACCAUCUGGUGAAAUACCGCUCUGAUCCCUUUACUAACACACGAAAGCCAUUCUAGUGAAGCGUCAUGCGAACACCCAUUACCAGGCGUUAUUAUACCGGACUGAAUUCAACGAAUUCACAUAUUAACCGAAUUAUAUGGAAGUCCAGCGGGGCUUGGUACGUCGAGUAGCCGAUUUCCGUUCCAGGCACUCGACGACCUGACCUCGGUGGGCAUUCAGGAGAAAAUAUGGCCAUCGCCAUGUGUUCGGUACACAAACGGCGGCCACCCGCAAACCACAGUACUUGCUCGCGGAUACAAUGUUGCCAGUGUUAAUGGGAGACACACGACCCCCAUAGUGAUUGCUAUUGCCUUUUACAUGGGCACUUACAGCUCUCAGGCCUAGCUUUCUUGAUUAUCCCAGGGUUAAAGGGAUCGUGCAGCCAGCUUACAGGUCCGAACACUUUGUUACCGGGAUCCAUAAAAAUCACAUAGGACACACUGUUCCAAAAGGAACUAACAUACCAUCCUUUAUUUAUUUUUCUCAGGCCUAGCCCAUAUGCCAAAAACAUUUAGAUUGCUGUGACUUCAAUACAAUACCAAUAAAAGGAACAUUAGUAAAUAAGCAAUUAAAAUUAAUAGACACACUAUAUAAUACCAAUAAAAAUUUUAAACACAAUACAAAGCAAUUAUAUAUUCAUUUUACUACUAAUUUGGUUGUCCUCAUUUGCAUACAAGUCGUAUGCAAAUGAACACACUUCUAGACAGUCAGCAGAGUUAUCCAAUAACAUUGAAUAUUUUGUGCAUUGAUUGCUGCUGUCAGACACUUCUUUCAGGGACUCCUGGGACCAGGUCCACAGUCUGUUAAAUCACCAUAUACACAUUUGUUUCAUUUGUAACCGUUGUAACAGUGUACUCCAAGGUUAGAGUGGACGCCUAUUUUUAAUAUAUUAACCGUUAGGUCAUUGUAUGGAUAAAUUUCAGUCUUGGAACUAAUAUUACUGUAUAAACAUUUUAAAUGAAUUCUAAUCAUUCUAUGACUGCAUACAUAUAUAUCUUAAAGUGCAUAAUCACUUGUUUGUUGCAGUUUAUAUCACUUUACACACACAUAUAUCAAUAGAAUUAAUAGGGUUUAUCUCGCUAUCUCCAUAAAUCGAUUUAUUCACCUUUAUUUUACAGUGUAUUAUUAAAGGGUUACUCUAAGUACCAUGACCAUUGCAGUUAUUUGUAGUCUGUUGUGGAAAUGAGAUAUUGACAUAUUUUUUAGAUAGUAAAAUGCCUAUUUACUUCAUUUAGUUAUACUCAGUAUUAUUCAAUAAAUUACUAAACUGACCACUAGAUGCCACUCAGGAGUACCCCACCCAUCGACCAAACACUCUCAUUUUCAAGAUGGCGCUGGAAUCCGGGGGAGAACUUCAUGACGACAGUAAUGACAUAAGAUGGCACACCCAGUAGGACGUGCUUUGAAUAAAACACUUAACCAAUUAUUGAUGUAUUAUUUCAUGUUAUCGCUGACGGUGCUUAUGAUGUAAUUGUGCUUUAUAAGGGACAUGCAAGUUAUUUCAUCAACCGGGAAACAUGUGUCUGGUGUGAUUUACUUUGGAAAGCAUACAUGCACCAUAACUAAUUUGGAAAGGGGCAGAUACACAAAAAUAAUCAAUUUAUUGAAUUGAUUUCCACUUCAGUUGGCGCCCAGACGUGGGGCACCGGAUUUAGCGGUUCGGAGGGCCGGAAACCAAGGACCGGAGCGGGACAACAGGAGCCUGAUCACCUCCAAAAUGCAGCCGUUGUCUGUAUUCUCCUGUUUUGUGUCGGUCUGCCUCCGCGCCCACUUCUGGCUUCCAGAAGGCUACAAGAAAAGACAGGUAAUCUCUUAUCCGGUGCCUCUUUUAACGAACCUGUCGCUUGUCUAUCUGCCUCCUGAGUGUUUGUAUGAAUGUGUGUGAAGGCCGGUGCAUGUAUUUUCUUUUUAAAAUCUUAGCUUGACUGCCUAGCGGGCAGGGGACGCAGCACCCGGUGAAGGGCUGGGGACCACCCAAGUAAGAGGGUUGGGUUGUUGUUAG